rnacentral:lncRNA from 1 species
UUUUUUUUUUUUUUUUUUUGGUGAAUUUUCUGAGGAAUAACAUAUAUACUGUGAAAUGCACAAAUCUUAUGUUCUUAUGUUUACAGUUUGAGGAACUUUUAUGAAUGUAUACACCAGGGCAAACAGCCUAAUCAAUAUCGAACAUUUCCAGCACAUCAGUAGCAUCCUUCCUGUGUCCACCCAUCAGUACCUCCAAAGCACAAUUCUGUCUUCUGUCACUAUAGUUGAGUUUUGUCUAUUCCUGAACUUCAAAUAAAUGGAAUCAUAGGACAUGAACUUGUUUCACUGGCUUUUUUGUUGUUGUCCGAGAUUCUGUGAGAUUCAUCUACAUUGCUGCAUGUAGCAGCUUUUUUGUUUUUAUUGAAUAGUAGUAGUAUUCGGUUAUAUGAAUAUGUCACAACUUAACCAUGCUUCUAUCCAUUUUGCCAUUUACCUGUGUCUAUUUGGGUUAUUUCCAGGUCUGAACUUCUAUGAAUACAGCUCUUAUAAAUAUGCUUGUACAUGUCUUUUGGUGAAAAUACACGCUAACUUCUCUUGGUUAUAAACCUAAUGACAGAGUUGCUAGGUCGGAGGGUAGGUAGUGUUUAGCUUCUGCAGAUGUUGCUGAGCACUAUUCCAAAGUGUUCCAGUUUAUACUCUUAUGAGUACUGUAAGCAGUGGCUCCACAUCCUCACCCAUACCUGGCAAUGCCAGUCUUUCAUUUUCUAGUCAUUUUGAUAGGUAUUUAAUGGUGCCUCAUUGUGGUUGCAUUUCCAUGACUAACACAGUUGAGCACCUUUUCAUAUUCAGCGACCAAAGGAGUAUCCUCUUUUGUGAAUGGUCUGUUCAAUUUUCAUUGCCAUUUAUUAGAGUAGUCUAUCUUUUUACAUUUAUUUUUGUUUGGGUUGUGUGUGUAUCCAAAAUAAAAAUCUUUUGUCAGAUAGAGGUAAUAUUGCCAUUAGAUGAAGUGUUUAUAGUUUGCCUAUCCCCACUAUGUGACUAUAAAUCCCAGGAUGGCAAGGGCUGUAUUUUGUUCACCAAUGCAUCUCUAGAACCUAGCACCACCAUGCCCAGCAUGCAACAGGAACUCAGUAUUUGGAUUCAAUCCAUUGGGAUUUCUGGGAUGGAGUUAACAUUGAGCAUCUUCUCACUUGCUUAUUCAUGUAUGUUGCCUUAUUACUCCCCAGGCUCCCAUCCUCAACUUUUUGUGCCCUGCAAUGUAAUGAAGCAGCAUAAUGUAGUCAGAUAACUACAGUUUCAAAAUGACAGUUUUCAAGGACACUUGAAACUUCCUUUCUAGCUGACUUCCUGUUAGCACCUGCUAAUGGGAGGCACUUGUGAGAUACAAGGUGGGAUGGGAGAAGUGACACUCUCUGACAGCUCUAAGAACAUCAGGGACUCAGGUUAGGUGAUGGUGGCUUUGGGGGCAGCCACAUAAAGUUGGAAGUACAGGUUCUGGGUCCUUGCUAGGCAGCUGAAAUCCAAUUCCAGGAGCAUUAGUUAAAAGUGCUGUGGCCUCUGAGGAAUCUUUCUUUAGCCCUGGCUGAUGUCGGUUGUCUAGGUGCAGUUGUCAACUUAUAAGUAAACUUCCCUUCCCUUUUCCCUUUUCUACUCCUUCAGUCCUUUAGACAUCCUUAAAAUAUAUCCCUGCAUUAAAUCUCUUCUGUCUGAAAUACCUAGAGUGAAUCCUGUUUCCAAGUCAGACCCUAAUACAGAGCUUUGCACCUGGAAUGAUCCUGAGAAACAGGCCCUCAAAGAUGUGUUUCUGAGUUUGGCUUGCCACCAUGUUUGAGUUUGAAUGCACAGAAGACCUGAUUGCCAGUAGAAAAUCUGAUCUGGUAACAUGUGGCAUGCCAUAUGUUAAGACUCAUGUGGUUGUUUUGCAUGAAGUGCCUACUGAAGACAAGGCUUAAAAGAUCAAGUAGAUACUGUACUUGAUGUUUAUAGAGGUGAUGAUGAUAUGAUCAAUAGGACAGUGAAAUGAAUUGGCUACUUGUUUUACUGUAGUGGGUGUUCACAGAAAAUGACAAGUUCAGGCUUUAAAUUUGAAAGCCAAGUCAUGAUCAAAGAACUAGAGCCCUUUUGUGACAGCCUUUAAAAAAUAUCUUUUUUUCAGGGCACCUGGGUGGCUCAGUGUUUGAGAAUCUCCCUUUGGCUCAGGUCAUUAUCCUGAGGUCCUGAGACUGAGUCCUACAGACUCCUCACAGGGAGCCUGCUUCUCCCUCUGCCUAUGUCUCUGCCUCUCUGUCUCUCAUGAAUAAAUAAAAUCUUUUUUAAAACCUUAUUUCUUGUGGAUACAGGGCAUAACUGGCUACAGAUCAGGCCCCAAAUCUGUGUGAAUUGCAGAACUACAGUCUUGAAUUCACAGCUGUGUCAAUUUUCUCAGGUGAAACCUAUAGCACUGAUUGGACAGGAGUGAGACCUUGAGAUUUGGAAUGGGGAUGUUUGGGUAGACUCAAACAAAUUUGAGACUCUU